rnacentral:rRNA from 1 species
AUUGAACGCUGGCGGCAUGCUUUACACAUGCAAGUCGAACGGUAACAGGUUAAGCUGACGAGUGGCGAACGGGUGAGUAAUGCAUCGGAACGUGCCCGAUCGUGGGGGAUAACGCAGCGAAAGCUGCGCUAAUACCGCAUACGAUCUGAGGAUGAAAGCGGGGGACCGUAAGGCCUCGCGCGAUCGGAGCGGCCGAUGUCAGAUUAGGUAGUUGGUGGGGUAAAGGCCCACCAAGCCGACGAUCUGUAGCUGGUCUGAGAGGACGACCAGCCACACUGGGACCGAGACACGGCCCAGACUCCUACGGGAGGCAGCAGUGGGGAAUUUUGGACAAUGGGCGAAAGCCUGAUUCAGCAAUGCCGCGUGCAGGAAGAAGGCCUUCGGGUUGUAAACUGCUUUUGUACGGAGCGAAAAGGUCCUUUCUAAUACAGGGGGCUCAUGGCGGUACCGUAAGAAUAAGCACCGGCUAACUACGUGCCAGCCGCCGCAGUAA